rnacentral:rRNA from 1 species
AUUGAACGCUGGCGGCAGGCCUAACACAUGCAAGUCGGACGGUAGCACAGAGGAGCUUGCUCCUCGGGUGACGAGUGGCGGACGGGUGAGUAAUGUCUGGGGAUCUGCCCGAUAGAGGGGGAUAACCACUGGAAACGGUGGCUAAUACCGCAUAACGUCGCAAGACCAAAGAGAGGGACCUUCGGGCCUCUCACUAUCGGAUGAACCCAGAUGGGAUUAGCUAGUAGGCGGGGUAACGGCCCACCUAGGCGACGAUCCCUAGCUGGUCUGAGAGGAUGACCAGCCACACUGGAACUGCGACACGGUCCAGACUCCUACGGGAGGCAGCAGUGGGGAAUAUUGCACAAUGGGCGCAAGCCUGAUGCAGCCAUGCCGCGUGUAUGAAGAAGGCCUUCGGGUUGUAAAGUACUUUCAGCGGGGAGGAAGGCGAUAAGGUUAAUAACCUUGUCGAUUGACGUUACCCGCAGAAGAAGCACCGGCUAACUCCGUGCCAGCCGCCGCGGUAA